rnacentral:rRNA from 1 species
UAGGGAAUCUUCGGCAAUGGACGAAAGUCUGACCGAGCAACGCCGCGUGAGUGAAGAAGGUUUUCGGAUCGUAAAACUCUGUUGUUAGAGAAGAACAAGGACGUUAGUAACUGAACGUCCCCUGACGGUAUCUAACCAGAAAGCCACGGCUAACUACGUGCCAGCAGCCGCGGUAAUACGUAGGUGGCAAGCGUUGUCCGGAUUUAUUGGGCGUAAAGCGAGCGCAGGCGGUUUCUUAAGUCUGAUGUGAAACCCCCCGGCUCAACCGGGGAGGGUCAUUGGAAACUGGGAGACUUGAGUGCAGAAGAGGAGAGUGGAAUUCCAUGUGUAGCGGUGAAAUGCGUAGAUAUAUGGAGGAACACCAGUGGCGAAGGCGGCUCUCUGGUCUGUAACUGACGCUGAGGCUCGAAAGCGUGGGGAGCAAACAGG